rnacentral:rRNA from 1 species
UCUGGUGGCUUGUCGUCGUGGCACCACCCGUUCUCAUUCCGAACACGGAAGUGAAACGCGAUCGAGCCGAUGGUACUCGCAAGGGGAGAGUAGGUAGCCGCCAGUU